rnacentral:lncRNA from 1 species
AGACACAACAACGAUUCCAUUCAAUUAGAAGUUAAGAUUGCCACUUGGACACUUUGGGCUUCUCCUACCUUGAAGUCAACAGGCUAAGAAGAGAGUUACUUGGCUGGGGCGAUUGACCCAGAUUAUCAAGAUGAAAUCAGUCUACUACUCCACAACUGAGGAAGCCAAGCCACACUGCUAACUGAUGAGAGACCAGCUUGAAAGAGGGAGGACCUGCCAAUUGCCAUCAGCACAACUCCAGAUAUAUGGGAGUCAGGCUUUAGGGCAAAAACCGGGGAUCACAGAAUGCUUGCUCAAUCAACUUUGCUCAUCCAAAAUCACAAAAAUCGCCUCAAAAAAUGUUGAUGAUAAUUUAAUUUUCUUCACUCUCCAUGAAGAUGUUAGAUAAUGCUCACUCUGGGUGAGAAUAAAAGCCAGACUCAUCAA